CCUACGGGUGGCAGCAGUGAGGAAUAUUGGUCAAUGGACGCAAGUCUGAACCAGCCAUGCCGCGUGCAGGAAGACGGUUCUAUGAGUUGUAAACUUCUUUUGUACGAGGGUAAACGCAGAUACGCGUAUCUGUCUGAAAGUACCGUACGAAUAAGCAUCGGCUAGCUCCGUGCCAGCAGCCGCGGUAAUACGGAGGAUUCAAGCGUUAUCCGGAUUUAUUGGGUUUAAAGGGUGCGUAGGCGGUCGGAUAAGUUAGAGGUGAAAUCCCGAGGCUCAACUUCGGAAUUGCCUCUGAAACUGUUCGGCUAGAGAGUAGUAGCGGUAGGCGGAAUGUGUGGUGUAGCGGUGAAAUGCUUAGAGAUCAUACAGAACACCGAUUGCGAAGGCAGCUUACCAGGCUACUACUGACGUUGAGGCACGAAAGCGUGGGGAGCGAACAGGAUUAGAUACCCCUGUAGUC
rnacentral:rRNA from 1 species